rnacentral:rRNA from 1 species
CAGCAGUGAGGAAUAUUGGUCAAUGGGCGAGAGCCUGAACCAGCCAUCCCGCGUGCAGGAUGACGGCCCUACGGGUUGUAAACUGCUUUUCUGCAAGAAGAAUGGUCACUACGUGUAGUGAUUUGACGGUAUUGCAGGAAUAAGCAUCGGCCAACUCCGUG